CCUACGGGAGGCAGCAGUGAGGAAUAUUGGUCAAUGGGCGCGAGUCUGAACCAGCCAAGUAGCGUGAAGGAUGACUGCCCUAUGGGUUGUAAACUUCUUUUAUAAAGGAAUAAAGCGAGGCACGUGUGCCUUUUUGCAUGUACUUUAUGAAUAAGGAUUGGCUAACUCCGUGCCAGCAGCCGCGGUAAUACGGAGGAUCCGAGCGUUAUCCGGAUUUCUUGGGUUUAAAGGGAGCGUAGAUGGGUUGUUAAGUCAGUUGUGAAAGUUUGCGGCUCAACCGUAAAAUUGCAAUUGAUACUGGCAGCCUUGAGUACAGUUGAGGUAGGCGGAAUUCGUGGUGUAGCGGUGAAAUGCUUAGAUAUCACGAAGAACUCCGAGUGCGAAGGCAGCUUACUAAACUGCGACUGACAUUGAUGCUCGAAAGUGUGGGUAUCAAACAGGAUUAGAUACCCCAGUAGUC
rnacentral:rRNA from 1 species